UACGUAGGGGGCAAGCGUUGUCCGGAAUCAUUGGGCGUAAAGCGCGUGUAGGCGGCUUGAUAAGUCUGCUCUGAAAGCCCGGGGCUCAACCCUGGGAGGCGGGUGGAUACUGUCGAGCUCGAGUCCGGAAGAGGCGAGUGGAAUUCCUGGUGUAGCGGUGAAAUGCGUAGAUAUGUGGAGGAAUACCGAUGGCGAAGGCAGCCCCCUGGGAUAACACUGACGCUCAUGCACGAAAGCGUGGGGAGCAAACAGG
rnacentral:rRNA from 1 species